AAAAGAAUAGAGUGUUAAGAAACAGAUCCAUACAUAUAAGCAAAGACAGGGCACAUCAAUGAAGACUGAAAGUCUCAAGAAAUAGCUCUGGGAUAACUGGGCAUCCAGAUGGAAAAGGUAAAGUUGGAAACCUUCUCUUACAAAAAAAAGCUCUAGGUAGAAUGAAAACUUAAAUGUCAAAAAAAAAUUCUAAAACUGUUAGAAGAUACUGUAAAAGAAUAUAACUUUAAUACAAAUAAAUGAAUAAAAUUGACUAAAUUCCUAAACUUCUGUUUAUCAAAAGGCCCAACAGAAUAAAAAGACCAUGAGAAAGGAUAUUUGCAAAACAUCUAAAUGACAAGGUACUGAAGAUCAGAAAAAACAAGGAGCGCCUAUGAGAAGUUAAGCAAAGGACAGACAGCCCAUUAGAACAUUGAUGGAGUCUUGCUCUAUCGCCCAGGCUAAAGUGCAGUGGUGCGAUGUUGGCUCACUGCAACCUCUGCCUCCCGGAUUCAAGCGAUUCUUUUGCCUCAGCCUCCUUAGUAGCUGGAAUUACAUGUGCCUGCUACCAUGCCAAGCUAAUUUGUGUGUGUGUGUGUAUUUUUAAUGGAGACAGGGUUUCACCAUGUUGGCCAGGCUAGUCUUAAAUUCCUGACCUCAGGUGAACCACCAGCCUCAGCCUCCCAAAGUGCUGGAAUUACAGGCGUGAGCCACAAUGCCCAGACAAAAGUAUUCAUUCUUUAAUCUUCAAAUUCCAGAUCUUGGAAUUUUUUCCAAGGGAACAAAUACCAAAGUGGGACAAAUACAUGAAAUUCAUGUUCAUUGCUGUAUUGCUUGUAAUAGUAAAAAAGUAGAGACUUAAAAGUCCAUCAGAAGGAGGAUUUCUUAAAUACAUUAAGGCACAUCUAUAUAGUAGAAUUCUAUGCACUAAUAUUAAUGGAUGAGUAAGUUUAUACGUAUAAACAUAGACAAAUAGGCAUAUGUUAGUCCAGCGCAGUGGCACACCUGUAGUCUCAGCUACUUGGGAGGCUGAGGCAGGAGGAUCACUUGAGCACGGGUGCUCAAGGCCAGCCUGGGCAACAUGGUGAGACCCAUCUCUUAAAAAAUAAAAUAAAAUACAAUUUAAAAUAGGCAUAUAUGACAAUGGAAACCAAUUAUAGAAGAGAUUAUAUCUAUAUGUAUAUAUAUAAUUGGAUUACAGGCAUGAGCCACCACUCCUAGCAACUUUCAAUUUUAUAAACUGAGUUUUUAACAACAUUAUUAACUUAAAAAUAAACGUGUUUGUUUUGAAAUGGGCAAAACAACAAAAAUAUUUUGUUUUGGAAAAUAAAUUUAUAUGAUCCUGUAAAUGUGUAAGAUACUUAGGAAAGAAAAAUAAAGAUGAGUUGGCAUCUUGGAAGAGCAGGCUCACUCAACAGCAGUGCUUGUUUCCUCCUCCUUCAGAGGGGUCACAGCUGAUGGCCAGGUAACCCGGAGAAGGGUUUUCCUGGGGUCACCAUAACUUGUUCCAUUCACACACCUUUAUCUGUAUUCUCAGCUCAUUUUACCUAUUUAAAAGACAAAAGUCUUUUAAGAAAGUUUUCUUAAUUUAAUUCGCAUUUCCCUUAAUGAUUCUACCAAGACCCAGGCAGAUGUAAAAAUCUCUUUGUGAGUAUACUGUUUCCUGCCUUAGGAAAAAAUGUUACUUCUGAUACUUGAAAAUUUUCACAAUUUACCUGUUUUGGUCACUCGAGGCUGCCCUAUCACAGAGGACUUCCACUUGUCAAGAACUUCUAUUCUGUUUCUACAUGGGACUUCUCCAAGCUCUGUCUGGGUUCUGCUGUCAAUGGUGUUGUCCAGUAAGUAUCCCCAGGCAGAAAUAAGAGGCUAUUGUAGGGGUUGCAUUGUUUGUGUCUCUUCUCAACUGGAGAAAAACAGUCCUUAGCUGCUGAUUGUCUAAUGUUUGAAAAUGAUUUUUUAUAUAGUUUGUCUAGUUUUCUAGUUGUUUAUAGUGGAAUCAGUCAUUAGCUCCUGAUUAGAAUCUCUCAUCUACUGAACUUUUUAUUUUAAUUUAAAACUUCUUAAAAUGUUAUAUUUUAAUUUUGUUACAGAAUAUAGUAAUACAUUAUCCUAGUGUAAAAUUUAAAAGGUAAGUAAUACAUAGUAAAAAAAAAUUCCUCCCACUUUCACUCCCGGAAGUAACUGAUGUUACAAAAUUUUUCUGUCUUUUAAAGUUAUUAUAUGUAUCUACAAAACAAAACACAGGAAACUAGCCAUAAUAAAAUAAUGGGGUCUAAAGGAAUUCAAUCACAUAAAAUGUUAGGUCAAAUUUAUUGUGAGAUUAAUAAAAAUUAUACUUUUGUUAAACUAUUUCUCUCACAAAAAGCACAAAAUGAUUGUGAAACUUACAGCACACGUUGCUGACUAGUGAACUGAGUAACCGCCAUUGAUUGUGAGGCAGUGACUUCUAUGUCCUCUUCCCCAUCUCAUUACUUACAAGUCAUGUAUAAGAGUCUCCUUUGUUCUAUAAUUUCUCUGACAGUUGUGAUUGAAAUUUUCAAUUUUUGUCAAGCUGGCUAAUGUAAAACAUCAUCCUGUUCUAUGUUUAAUAGCAUUUCCCUGAUUACUAAUAUGAAGCAUUAUAUAUUGCCUAUUCAUGUUUCAUAUUUUGUAUAAUGUCUAUAUCCUUUGUUCAUUAUUUAAUUGUGUUAUUUGUAUUCUUUAUGUAUUAUUCUUUAACACAUUGCUGUUUAUAUGUUGGUUAUAUUUUACAUUUUCUUCUAGUUUAUGGGAAGUCUUUUUCUUUUCCUAAGGCAAUCUGUUGAUAAAUAUAACCUGUGAAUAUUAAAGUUAUUAAAGUUAUCAAACAUUUGAGAUAAAUUUAUUCAUUAGCUCUUUAUGAGUUAUUGGUUUUUUUCAGGUUAAAAGAAAUAACUUCUUUUUUUGUUUUUUGAUGUGAAGAACUUGGUGGAGAAAUUAAAAUUUCAGAUGCAGAAAAAGAAGCAAGAAAAUUUCUGGAAUGACAGGCAUGAGUAGAUAACAGGUGUGAUGGUUAAUACUGAGUGUCACCUUGCUUGGAUUGAAGGGUGCAAAGUAUUGUUCCUGGGUGUGUCUGUGAGGGUGUCACCAAAGGAGAUUAACAGUUGAGUCAGUGAACUGGGAGAUGCAGACCCACCCUCAGUCUGGGUGGUCACCCUCUAAUCAGCUGCCAGCACAGCUAGGAUAAAAGCAGGCAGAGGAAUAUGGAAGGGCUCGACUGGCUCCACCUUUCUCCCAUGCUGGUUGCUUCCUGCCCUCAAACAUCAAACUCCAAGUUCUUUCAGCUUUUGGACUCUUGGACCUACACCAGGGGUUUGCCAGGGGCUCUCAGGCCUUUGGCCUCAGACUGAAGGCUGCCCGGUUGGCUUCCCUACUUUUGGGAUUUGGGGACUCAGAUUGGCUUUCUUGCUCCUCAGCUUGCAGACAGCCUAUCGUGCAACUUCACCUUGUGAUUGUGUGAGUCAAUACUCUUUAAUAACUCAUUUUAUAUAUACAUUUAUCCUAUUAGUCAUGUCCCUCUAGAGAAUCCUAAUACAACAAGACACAGCACCUAGUCACAGUGAGAGGGGUGGACAUUAUUUAGAAGCAAAGACAGUUCAUCCAUAUGAAAAGGAGAGAUAACAGAAUGUAGGUAUAGAUAUAUAAAGAUGAGCAGAUGAAGAGACUAGAGAUUUUGAAAUUCUUGUCAAAUGACCACUUUUUUUUUUUACAAGUGAAAUUGAAAAUAAAGUCAUCAGUAAAGAGUUAAGAUGGGAAGGAGAGAAAAUAAGUAUGAACUGUUACUCUGGGAAAGGAUGAGAGUGAAUGGGGCAGGGAAUAUUUUUUUCUGGGAAACAUAAAGACAGGAGCUUUGUGAUCAUGAAUUUCAGUUGAAACAAAUUAACCUGAUUCCCUCUUACUCUAUUUUAAAUUUCAGUUUUAUUUAUUUAAAAAUCUGAACGUAAUAUCCAUAAUUAUAGUAUUAUACAGAAGAGUUUCACUGCCCUAAAAUUCCUCUGUGCUCCAUCUGUGCGUCCCUCUGUCCCCCAUAACUCCUGGCAACCACUGAUUUUUUUUAACUGUCUCCAUAGUUUUGCCUUUCCCAGAAUGUCAUGUAGCUGGAGUCAUACAGUACGUAGCAUUUCCUGAUUGGCUUCACUCAGAAACAUGUAUUUGAGAUUGCUUAAUGUCUUUUUAUGGCUUGAUAGGUCAUUUCUUUUUAAUGCUGAAUAACAUUUAAUUAUUUGGAUGUAUUACAGUUUAUCCAUUUACCUAAUGAAGGACAUCUUGGUUGCUUCCAAGUUUGGCAAUUAUGAAUUAAACCGCUAUAAACAUUAUCGUGCAG
rnacentral:lncRNA from 1 species